GAGUUUGAUCGUGGCUCAGGAUGAACGCUGGCGGCGUGCCUAAUACAUGCAAGUCGAACGAACAGAUAAGGAGCUUGCUCCUUUGACGUUAGCGGCGGACGGGUGAGUAACACGUGGGUAACCUACCUAUAAGACUGGGAAUAACUCCGGAAACCGGGGCUAAUGCCGGAUAACAUGUUGAACCGCAUGGUUCUACAGUGAAAGACGGUCUUGCUGGUCACUUAUAGAUGGACCCGCGCCGUAUUAGCUAGUUGGUGGGGUAACGGCUACCAAGGCGACGAUACGUAGCCGACCUGAGAGGGUGAUCGGCCACACUGGAACUGAGACACGGUCCAGACUCCUACGGGAGGCAGCAGUAGGGAAUCUUCCGCAAUGGGCGAAAGCCUGACGGAGCAACGCCGCGUGAGUGAUGAAGGUCUUCGGAUCGU
rnacentral:rRNA from 1 species